rnacentral:lncRNA from 1 species
CCUUAUUCCCACUGUCAUUGCUAGAAGAGGAGGACAGUCGGGACUUCUUAGAGGCCAGGGACACCCCACUCCCCUGUAACUUGCCUGUCUCAUCAUCGCUCCCAGUCACCUCAUAAUGACCUUUGCUCUUUGACCCCAAUCCACCAAAGGUACCGAAUUUCAGCUUCCCGUGUUUCCCUUUAACUUUCCCACCUUCCAGAGACACUUCCCCACCUUCAAACUCCAGCGUCCCCGUCGGGGUGGAAGGUCCAGAGAAC